rnacentral:rRNA from 1 species
GUGCCAGCAGCCGCGGUAAUACGAAGGGGGCUAGCGUUGUUCGGAAUUACUGGGCGUAAAGCGCGCGUAGGCGGUGAUCUUUGUCAGAGGUGAAAUCCCGAGGCUCAACUUCGGAAUUGCCUUUGAAACGGGAUCGCUUGAGUCCGAGAGAGGAUGGCGGAAUUCCUAGUGUAGAGGUGAAAUUCGUAGAUAUUAGGAAGAACACCGGUGGCGAAGGCGGCCAUCUGGCUCGGUACUGACGCUCAGGCGCGAAAGCGUGGGGAGCAAACAGGAUUAGAUACCCUGGUAGUCC